rnacentral:lncRNA from 1 species
CAAGAAAAUGGUCGAUAUAGUGGAAAAAUUAUCAGGGCAAGUGAUUUUACAUGUGCCACUGUUACCGGAGUACACUUGCAAUUUUAAAGUUAUUUCCACCCCUGUGAGAACGGGUGUAGGGGUACUUGCGGCCCUAUCCACAAAGCAUUCUUAGCAUUACAGGGCGGUGGGGUAAGCUAGUAGUUUAAGCAUUCACUCGUCACGCCGAAGACCCGGGUUCAUUUCUCCACAUAGGUACAAUGUGUGAAGCCCAUUUCUGGUGUCCUAUGCCGUGAUAUUGCUGGAAUAUUGCUAAAAGCAGUGUAAAACUAAACUCAAUCGUAGCAUUACAUUAUUCAUAAGCCAAUGAUAUAGCACAGAGUAACGUUAUUGUUACAAACACUUUGUGGAUUGGGACCCUGUAGAGUAGGGCUGCACCGUAUCAACUGUUAGGCAGUUAUAAUACGUAUAUCAGAUAAAGACUAAUGAAUAUGAAUAUCUGUUCACCAAUACAAUAUAGUCAGUAGUUGAGGUGUUAUUUAUUAUAUUCCGGAAACAAUAACAAAAUAAAUUAUUUGACCAUGUGGACAUCACAACCAUGUCACUUACAUUACUUACUUUGAUUGACAGGACCAAAAGGGUCCUUAGUAAAAUUGUUUUCUUUGUUGUUUAACCCAGCUCUUAGCCAUCUUCCAGGUAUAUGAUGGCAGUCUGUAAAUAGUUGAGUCUGGACCAGACAGUCCAUGAGCAUUUAUCCACACAAUUUGGAUGUGAUGAUAUGCAUCAUCUAAGUCAGUUAAUGAUUUCAAUUCAUGAAGGGAUAAGAUGAAUAAAUCGUACCUUACUGUACAGUUUAAAGUAGCAAUAGGAUAUGGAAUAUGUUAUAAACCUCAAAAAUAUUUUUAAUAUCUGUUGUGGUUGUCCUAAAAAAGUUGAAUAUUUUAGAGAGGCAUUAUGAAACUGUCGAAACAUAAACUGGGUUGACUAAUGAAUUUCAACUCCUUCAUUCGUUCAGCAUGGUCAGUGUGGAGUUUUUUCAAUAUACCAUUACAGAUGCUAGUAUCAAGCAAGUUGCACAUAAUUAUAUAGCUAAGUUUACAUAUGUUAAGGGGGUGGUACUGGUAAGGUAGCCAAGUGGUUGAACCAUGGAUUUUCACACCAAGGACUGAGGUUGGGUUCCCCACAUGGAUACAACGUAUGAAGCCCAUCUCUGGUGUCCACGGACACGAUGUUGCUGGAAUGUUACUUAUAGUGGCAUAAAACCUUAGACUCACUCAUAUUUAAAGAAAAAUAGCGAAAAGAAGGAUGCCAGAUGGUUGUGUGAUCAUGAGUUUGAAUCCCAGUUAUGUUACGAGGUUUGUCACCACCAUUAUUGUGGUCCAGGGUCUCACCAAAGCGGUGAACUCCUGAGAUCAGCAUGACUUGGGCUUUCCUACGACAUCAAACUGACAAACCCAUGUGUAACAGGAAUACUUUUUGAAACAGGGUUAAACCCAACCCACAUACUCCAAGAUGAAUUGAGACAUGGUGAUAUAGCUUACAUAUUAUAAAGGACUGUUCUAUUGACUAGAGCAUUCAUUUGUACUGCAACUAGCCAGGUUCAAUUCACAACAUGGGUUCAAUAUCCAGUUUGACCUGUCCAAGGUAUAUACUGUUAGAUCCAUUUUACUUCUUGCAAAUCCAUAUUUUGGAUUAUUGAUUGACCAACACAUUUAAUGUAGAGUGUGUUUGAAUAUAUUAUAUAUACUGUAACCAUAGUUACUGGUAUUGGUCUUGAAAUUCUGAUUAUCGGUGCCCUCAUCACAGAGUGCUUUUAUGUAAUGCUUCAUUGAUCACUGUCCUCUUUAAUGAAUUUUACCAUUGUUACAUUGGUCUGGUUAAAUAUUUCACCAUGUUCAUUAUAUACAAGUUAAGAUGAAGGUACUAUGGGACUCACCAUGUGCUGUUUUUGGUUAAGUCAAUUACUGGUAAUAUUAGGAAGAGUAUUAUUUUAGAAAUUUAGUCCUGCCUUACAUCUGAUUUGCAUUGGUCUGCUUUGUACCUUAAAUACAUUUUCAAGUUCAUGUUUGUGAAAUGCUUCCUGAAGAUAUUGGGUGAUAAGAAUUUUAAGCAGUUACGGAAAAAGUAUCCAGCGCAAUCAGAGUGGGUAGUCUAUGAGUAGGUCUAUCCCAAUUAGGAUCCAAACAUCAACUAGGAUCCAGUCCUCAAGAUCUGGAUGGCAGGUAGGAUCCGGCCCACAGUUAGGAUCCAGCCCUCAGUUAGGUUCCAGCCCUCAGGAUCUGGACGGCAGUUGGGACCCAGUUGUCAAUAAAGAUCUGGGUGCUCAUUACUUUCACCACAUUGAUGGUAGCAGAGAGAUGGAAAGAAUGAGUGGAAAGAAAGAAAGAUUUGAUGAUUACAACGAAGGGCCGACUCAAGCUUAUUUCCUGAUAUCCCCUGCUGCAAUAUUGCUGAAAUACUGCUAAAAGCUUAGUGAACCUUUCAGUGUGAUAUAGAACUGUCCCCAAA